AGCAUAAUCACUUGUUCUUUAAAUGAGGACCAGUAUCAAUGGCAUCACGAGGAUCUUACUGUCUCCCCCCUCUAAUCAGUGAAACUGAUCUCCCCGUGAAGAAGCGGGGAUAUUUUUAUAAGACGAGAAGACCCCAUGGAGCUUUAAACCCGAUAGCACCCACUCACCUCACACCCCCACAUAUUUUCUGGUCCUGUCUACUCGGUUUUAGGUUGGGGUGACCACGGAGUACAAAACAACCUCCAUGAAAAAAGGAAAUGAUCCUCAUCAAAGAACUACACUUCCAAGAAAUAAUAAAUUAAUUUUUAAUGAUCCGAUAUUCGAUCAACGAACCAAGUUACCCUGGGGAUAACAGCGCAAUCCACCUCAAGAGCUCCUAUCGACAGGCGGGUUUACGACCUCGAUGUUGGAUCAGGGUAUCCCAGUGGUGCAGCAGCUACUAAAGGUUCGUUUGUUCAACGAUUAAAACCCUACGUGA
rnacentral:rRNA from 1 species